rnacentral:tRNA from 1 species
ACCUGGGUGGCUCAGUUGGUUAAGUGUCUGACUUCAACUCAGGUCAUGAUCUCACAGUUUGUGGGUUCGAGCCCCGUGCUAGGCU